AAUGAACGCUGGCGGCGCGCCUAAUACAUGCAAGUCGAGCGAGAAGACGUAGCAAUACGUUUGUAAAGCGGCGAACGGGUGAGGAAUACAUGGGUAACCUACCCUCGAGUGGGGAAUAACUAGCCGAAAGGUUAGCUAAUACCGCGUACGCUUCUUGGACUUCGGUUCAGGGAGGAAAGCGAUGCCGAGGGUAUCGCGCUCUUGGAUGGGCUCAUGUCCUAUCAGCUUGNGGUGAGGUAACGGCUCACCAAGGCUUCGACGGGUAGCUGGUCUGAGAGGACGAUCAGCCACACUGGCACUGCGACACGGGGCCAGACUCCUACGGGAGGCAGCAGUAAGGAAUAUUGCGCAAUGGGCGAAAGCCUGACGCAGCGACGCCGCGUGGGGGAUGAAGGUCUUCGGAUUGUAAACCCCUUUC
rnacentral:rRNA from 1 species